GGUACUUUCUGUUGUCAGGGUAAAAGUUAACCCACGAUAUUUACUCCUUCCCGGACAGGAGGGUGGUUGAUUGAUCUCUCCUGAUUCAUCCUAGUACUUCCGCUUACUCAAAAUCAGAUAUCUUCCAUGAUAGGGAGAUGGUGACUACUGACAGACACCCUCACACAAGCCCGUGGAUAUUUAAUUAGCAUCACAUUGUUGAUCUUAAGAAACAAAGAUAACAAAAGUUUUUGAAGAAACUUCCUGCAUGCCAAUGGGAGGUUGUCCCCAUUUCCCCAUCCCCAACUGAAGAGGACAUAAUGUGUUAACUGCAUCAGGGAAUGCCACCAGGAUGUCAUGCUGGGGAAAUAAUGAAGUAAGUGGCUGCAGUGCAUUGAAACAUCUCUUUAUU
rnacentral:lncRNA from 1 species